AUUGCUCACAAUCAAGACCCUGGACCAAACGGCUGUUAGUUGAGCAUCAAGUAAUGUAACGACAAGGAGGGCAGAAACAUAAUUUUGCAAAAAUAUAAAACUUAUUCUACCUUUUAAUCCCCACUCUUCAUUAAUAAGCCACACUCCACUCCUCCCCCAAACCCUCCCGCGUUCCAAAUUCUCCUGCGACACAGACAUCCAUCCGAUCAUCAACACAAUGAGGCAAUACGCUAUGAUAUUAUUCACACUCCACGUUGUCAUCGGAUUUAGGGUGCAGGUCACCAGAACGUAAGAAUCUAGUAUCGGGUCCUGAUGCGGACUGACAGGGGGUUUCAGGUCGUUAGAUACCUAUGGAGCUUUCACGAGGAGGACAGGUCAUUGUGGGAUAUGGACUGUUAUGUCCUAUGCUUAACAUUUGAACUUUAAACUAUGUUUUGGUUAUUUAC